AGCGGAAUAAGCAACACAACAACAACAACAACAACAACAACAACAACAACAGCAAGAGAAGAAUAAGUAGUAGAAAUGGCGAUGUAUUGUAGUUGUCGUUGUUGUUGUUGCUGCUGUUGCUGCUGUUGCUGCUGCUACUGCU
rnacentral:miRNA from 1 species